ACGGAGGAUGCGAGCGUUAUCCGGAUUUAUUGGGUUUAAAGGGUGCGUAGGCGGCCCCUUAAGUCAGCGGUAAAAUUUCUGCGCUCAACGCAGUCUGGCCGUUGAAACUGGGGGGCUUGAGUCUGGAUGAAGUGGGCGGAAUUUGUAGUGUAGCGGUGAAAUGCUUAGAUAUUACAAGGAACUCCGAUUGCGCAGGCAGCACACUAAGCCAUCACUGACGCUGAAGCACGAAAGUGUGGGUAUCUUACAG
rnacentral:rRNA from 1 species